UCUUGCUUCCCAAAAAAACCGUAAAACCCAUAUCAACCAUUGAUAAUUGAGAUCACUCCCAAUUCAAUAAAAGCAAGAUAGUAAAGGAUCGCAAUCCAUUGUACAACCUGUGUUGAUUGGUGAUUUCAUCGUGAUGAUAAUCGCAAUCCACCGCCAUUCAACCCAGAUCUUAACUUUCCUUAAAAUUCCGCAGAUCCCCUUUUUGAUACCUAAAUCCAUUCUCAAUCGACCCGAGUAACAGUCCUGAUACGCCGUAUCAAGGUCUUGAUCAUGCCAGAACAAACCGAACCAAUCUCCUGCUCCAAUCCCCGGCUCCCAUC
rnacentral:lncRNA from 1 species